GUUUAUAGCUUUACAAAUUCAGUCAGUAUAGCUUAAGACUCGUAAUCUCAAGACUGUGGGUUUGAGCCCCACAUUCAGCA